rnacentral:SRP_RNA from 1 species
GCUGGGCGUGGUGGCUCACGCCUGUUAUCCCAGCAUUUUGGGAGGCUGAGGCGGGUGGAUCACCUGAGGUCGGGAGUUCAAGACCAGCCUGACCAACAUGGAGAAACCCCGUCUCUA